rnacentral:misc_RNA from 1 species
AACGCAAGUUGCGCCCGAAGCCAUUAGGCCAAGGGCACGCCUGCCUGGGCGUCACGCACCCGUCGCCCCCCCACCUCCCUCCCCCCGGGGACGGGAUGCAAGGAAGGGGCGGACAUUGGCCUCCCGUGGGCUCCCUCGCCUACGGUUGGUCGAAAAUCGGUCCCGCGGCGACGUACGCCACGACGAGCGGUGGAUUCUCACGAACCCCCCUCCCUCCCCCUCCUCGGCUCGACCGGGCGAGAGCGAGGGGAGCAGCUCGACGUCGCGCGCGUCACGUCGCCUCAGGGGCCCCCCCAAGAGAACGGCCCGAGACCCUCGAUCGCGACCCCAGGUCAGGCGGGACCACCCGCUGAGUUUAA